GCUACGGGUGGCAGCAGUAGGGAAUCUUCCACAAUGGGCGAAAGCCUGAUGGAGCAACGCCGCGUGGGUGAAGAAGGUCUUCGGAUCGUAAAACCCUGUUGUUAGAGAAGAAAGAGCGUGCGAGUAACUGUUCUCGUUUCGACGGUAUCUAACCAGAAAGCCACGGCUCACUACGUGCAAGCAGCCGCGGUAAUAGGUAGGUGGCAAGCGUUAGCCGGAGUGUUUGGGCGUCAAGGGAAAGGCGGCGGUUGUUUAAGUCUGAUGUGAAAACCUUCGGCUGAACCGUGGUAGUGAAUUGGAAAAUGGGAGAAUUGAGUGCAGAAGAGGAGAGUGGAACUCGAUGUGUAGCGGUGAAAUGCGUAGAUAUAUGGAAGAACACCAGUGGCGAAAGCGGCUCUCUGGUCUGUAACUGACGCUGAGGUUCGAAAGCGUGGGUAGCAAACAGGAUUAGAGACCCCAGUAGUC
rnacentral:rRNA from 1 species